UACAGAGGUCCCAAGCGUUGUUCGGAUUCACUGGGCGUAAAGGGUGCGUAGGUGGCAGGGUAAGUUUGAUGUGAAACCUCCGGGCUUAACCCGGAAACUGCAUUGAAUACUAUCCUGCUCGAGGUUUGGAGGGGGGACUGGAAUUCUCGGUGUAGCAGUGAAAUGCGUAGAUAUCGAGAGGAACACCAGUGGCGAAGGCGAGUCCCUGGACAACACCUGACACUGAGGCACGAAAGCUAGGGGAGCAAACAGG
rnacentral:rRNA from 1 species